rnacentral:rRNA from 1 species
GACGAACGCUGGCGGCGUGCUUAACACAUGCAAGUCGAACGGUAAGGCCCUUCGGGGUACACGAGUGGCGAACGGGUGAGUAACACGUGGGUGAUCUGCCCUGCACUUCGGGAUAAGCCUGGGAAACUGGGUCUAAUACCGGAUAGGACCACUGCCUGCAUGGGUGGUGGUGGAAAGCUUUUGUGGUGUGGGAUGGGCCCGCGGCCUAUCAGCUUGUUGGUGGGGUGAUGGCCUACCAAGGCGACGACGGGGAGCCGGCCUGAGAGGGUGACCGGCCACACUGGGACUGAGAUACGGCCCAGACUCCUACGGGAGGCAGCAGUGGGGAAUAUUGCACAAUGGGCGCAAGCCUGAUGCAGCGACGCCGCGUGAGGGAUGACGGCCUUCGGGUUGUAAACCUCUUUCAGCACCGACGAAGCGCAAGUGACGGUAGGUGCAGAAGAAGGACCGGCCAACUACGUGCCAGCCGCCGCCGUAAAAC